CACAGGUAGGUGGGCGGGCGGCGCGCCGUUGCUGCGCCUGCGAGGAUGCAGAGAUGCCAGCUGAAGCCAGAAGAACGUCUACCAAGAGCAGAGAAACCAGGAAGAGGAUUCUGCCUACUUAAUACAUUACAAUAUGGACGGUUUCCUUUUAGUUUAAAAAAUACGUUAUCAGCUGGAAGAAAGUGAAACGCCCAUAUAGCUCUUAACCUUAUGUUGUUUCUUUCCAAAAAUCUGUACCCAUCAACUCGCUGCGUUUUUAUUUGACUCUAAUAAGACAUGGCACUGGAAGCAGACUUGAAAUGAAUACACAGAGCACCUUUAUCCCAGAAAUUAAUCUCACAACUUGGGGAUCCUUGCUUAAGUCAAGACUAUCUGCAGUUUCAUCUGUGGGCUCUCUCUUUGCCCUAGUGUCUAGUUUUGUCAUAAAGCUGGAAUUGGGGAGGGACACUAGGAGGUUGGCCAGGUAAAGGUGGCCAUACAUGUUAUGUCUCACCCUCCUUAUCAGACUACCUGCAGAGCAUAACAGCCAAGCUAUAAAUGGUCAAAAGACCCAGGGAAUCAGUUAUGAGCCAUCCAAAAGAAGCAUGUACAGGGCAGCUGCUUUAUAAUGGGGGGGGGGGAGCUAGGGACUGAGCGUAGGUUGUUUUUACUUUAAAUUGUGUUUUGUGGGUGGAUUAAUAGCUUAAUAAUCAGAGAAGAUAUAGGAAUCAUAAGUACUAAUAUUGGAAACAGCUAGAGGUGGAGUGAGGCUGCGAAAUAGUUUGUGAAACAUCCUGCCUUGGAGGAAUUCAGAACUUCCCUGAGGGUCCCACUUCUGCUGUUGGAGGACUAGGUUGUAAAUAGGCCAGCCCCAGGGCAUCUGCAAAUGGUAAGUGUGGAGGAGUUGGAGUCAUCUGCUGGUGUAUUUGUGGGAAGCAUUUGCUAUCCUUGAAGAAAAGGUGCAGAAGGAAAGUGGCUAUCAGUCUGUCAGUGACAACACAUCUUGUGAAGUCUUUCUCUUUUGUAUCUGACACUGUGGUUCUUACAUCUGUCCUAACCCUGGCAGCCUCAUUGAGGUUCACAAAGCAUCUCCUCCUAAGUGACAGGAAGACUGGAAUUAUUAUCAGGGUGGAAUCCAUUCCUGCCAGAGUAAAACCAUGAAAGGAAAUCACAGUACUUGUUAUCUUAUUAUUUUUCAGAGAUCAUGGUUGUGUUCCUUAUUUGGUGUAUGGCAAGUUGAUAACUUUUGGCUAAUAUCCUUUAAUGUUCUUAUUUCUAUUACACUGUGAAUAGUCUUAUAAGUAAUGUUUUUUAAAGAUUGAAAUGCAUACAAUAUAUGUUUUAACACAGCAUUUCCAAGUUCCUUUUUGUCCCACAGAAUAAUUAUAAUGUUUUGUAUUAGUUACAUGCCUUUCAGUAGAGGGAUUUACCUGUUUCCAUUACUUAAAAUAGAUGAGAGUAUUUGACAAAAAUAUAAAGAAAGGGGAGAAUUAUGAAAGGGAAAAAAGAUCUGGAUGAUGGAGAUUAAAAAGAAAUUUGGUAGUUUGGGGCAAGGUGGGUAGGAGGAGUCCAAUCCUCGAUAAAAAUCUUGGUUGCUUAUUAUUAGAGCUUUGUGUUGAGAGCUUCCUGAAUGAGAACUGUUCUUAAAUACAAAAGAACACCAACAAAAAGUUACCUCUUCCAACACCACACCAGCCUGGAACAUUUUCAACCAUUAAGACAUCACUUUUUCCAAGUUCAGCUCCAUGUUCUUUGCAAAAUGCUUUUCUUAUUAGCUCCUCCUUCGAAGAAAUUUUCACUACGUUUCUUAACUUUAAUAAAUAUGAUUUAUUAUAUGCA